rnacentral:rRNA from 1 species
AUGCAUUAUAGGCAGAAAAUAUGUUUAUCCAUUGGAAGCCAAUCAAUGAAUUAUAUGCGUUGGCAUGCACUGUUGGAGUCUGUUGGGGAACGUAGCAGAAAUUCAAAAUUUUCCUACGUGUCACCAAAAUCUAUCUAUGGAGAAACCAGCAACGAGGGGAAGGAGAGUGCAUCUACAUACCCUUGUAGAUCGCUAAGCGGAAGCGUUCAAGAGAACGGGGUUGAAGGAGUCGUACUCGUUGUGAUCCAAAUCACUGAUGAUCCUAGUGCCAAACGGACGGCACCUCCGUGUUCAACACAUGUACAGCCCGGUGACGUCUCCCAUGCCUUGAUCCAGCAAGGAGAGAGGGAGAGGUUGAGGAAGACUCCAUCCAGCAGCAGCACAACGGCGUGGUGGUGGUGGAGGAGCGUGGUACUCCAGCAGGGCUUCGCCAAGCAUCGCAAGAGACGAGGAGGGAGAGGGGUAGGGCUGCGCCAAGAAGGAGAGGAACUCGUGUGUGUUGGGCAGCCCAAACCUCAAGUAUAUAUAGGGGAAGGGGAGGGGCUGCGCCCCCACCUAGGGUUCCCUCCCUAG